GACGAACGCUGGCGGCGUGCCUAAUACAUGCAAGUCGAACGCUGAAGGAGGAGCUUGCUCUUCUGGAUGAGUUGCGAACGGGUGAGUAACGCGUAGGUAACCUGCCUGGUAGCGGGGGAUAACUAUUGGAAACGAUAGCUAAUACCGCAUAACAGUAGAUGUUGCAUGACAUUUGCUUAAAAGGUGCAAUUGCACCACUACCAGAUGGCCCUGCGUUGUAUUAGCUAGUUGGUGGGGUAACGGCUCACCAAGGCGACGAUACAUAGCCGACCUGAGAGGGUGAUCGGCCACACUGGGACUGAGACACGGCCCAGACCCCUACGGGAGGCAGCAGUAGGGAAUCUUCGGCAAUGGACGGAAGUCUGACCGAGCAACGCCGCGUGAGUGAAGAAGGGUUUCGGAUCGUAAAGCUCGGUUGUAAGAGAAGAACGAGUGUGAGAGUGGAAAGUUCACACUGUGACGGUAGCUUACCAGAAAGGGACGGCUAACUACGUG
rnacentral:rRNA from 1 species